UACGGAGGAUGCAAGCGUUAUCCGGAAUUACUGGGUUUAAAGGGUGCGUAGGCGGCUUGGUAAGUCAGGGGUGAAAUCCCGCAGCUCAACUGUGGAAUUGCCUUUGAUACUGCCGAGCUUGAAUCAGGAUGAGGUUGGCGGAAUGUGACAUGUAGCGGUGAAAUGCUUAGAUAUGUCAUAGAACACCGAUUGCGAAGGCAGCUGGCUAGACCUUGAUUGACGCUGAGGCACGAAAGCGUGGGGAGCGAACAGG
rnacentral:rRNA from 1 species